rnacentral:rRNA from 1 species
GAUGAACGCUAGCGGCAGGCUUAACACAUGCAAGUCGAGGGGCAGCACGGACUUCGGUCUGGUGGCGACCGGCUAACGGGUGCGGAACACGUACACAAUCUACCUUUAUCUGGGGUAUAGCCCGAAGAAAUUCGGAUUAAUCCCCCAUAAUAUAUUAAAGUGGCAUCACUUCGAUAUUAAAACUCCGGUGGAUAAAGAUGAGUGUGCGUCCCAUUAGCUAGUUGGUAGGGUAACGGCCUACCAAGGCAACGAUGGGUAGCUGGUGUGAGAGCACGACCAGCCACACGGGCACUGAGACACGGGCCCGACUCCUACGGGAGGCAGCAGUGAGGAAUAUCGGUCAAUGGACGCAAGUCUGAACCAGCCAUGCCGCGUGAAGGAUGAAGGCCUUCUGGGUUGUAAACUUCUUUUAUUGGGGAAGAAAAUUACGGUUUCUACUGUAACCGACGGUACCCAAGGAAUAAGCACCGGCUAACUCCGUGCCAGCCGCCGCAGUAA